CCUACGGGAGGCAGCAGUGGGGAAUCUUGCGCAAUGGGCGAAAGCCUGACGCAGCAACGCCGCGUGCGGGAAGAAGGCUUUCGGGCUGUAAACCGCUUUCAGCAGGAACGAAAAUGACGGUACCUGCAGAAGAAGGAGCGGCCAACUAUGUGCCAGCAGCCGCGGUGAUACAUAGGCUUCAAGCGUUGUCCGGAUUUAUUGGGCGUAAAGAGUUCGUAGGCGGUCGAGUAAGUCGGGUGUGAAGAUUCUGGGCUCAACCCAGAGACGCCACCCGAUACUGCUUGACUUGAGUUCGAUAGGGGAGUGGGGAAUUCCUAGUGUAGCGGUGAAAUGCGCAGAUAUUAGGAGGAACACCGGUGGCGAAGGCGCCACUCUGGAUCGAUACUGACGCUGAGGAACGAAAGCAUGGGUAGCAAACAGGAUUAGAUACCCUGGUAGUCCAUGCGUAGACGGUGGCGACUAGGUGUGGUUUCGUUAUUAACGUAAACUACGCGCCGUCGUCUACGACAUAAGUAGCCCGCCGUCGGGAGGUACGGUCGCGAGAACGUAAACGUAACGUAAAGGUAAAGUUAGUUACGGCGUGAGACGUGCCGACGGACGACGACGAGGGAGGAGG
rnacentral:rRNA from 1 species